GGGUGGUUAGCUUAAGUGAAAGCAUUGGAUUUUUAAUCUAAAGAUUUAUUCUACCUA
rnacentral:tRNA from 1 species